CGUUCCCGGGUCUUGUACACACCGCCCGUCACACCACGAAAGUCGGCAACACCCGAAGCCGGUGGCCUAACCCGCAGGGGAGGGAGCCGUCGAAGGUGGGGCUGGCGAUUGGGGUG
rnacentral:rRNA from 1 species